rnacentral:piRNA from 1 species
UGGUGAACCCUAAGAGCCAGAACUCUG